CGUGCACCACGUAGAACACGUGUUGAAGUUGAAUGAGUAUCGUGGGUGUUGCGAGAACGUGUUUGAAAAAGGUCAAGCUAAUGCGGUACACGGUUUGUACAGGUUGACGUUUUAUCCAUAAGAGAUUAUAAACGGCAAAUGAUCUAUUUCUGUCAAUUUUUGCGAUUUCCAAUCGCGAUAGCGCAAGUGACAAAUAAUUAGGCUAAUUAUUUUUACUUCUCUGCGUACCUUUGCUUCGAAAAUCAAACUCCUCGUUUCAAUCUUUGCUCAGCCCUGAACCCUCCUGGAGGAAUAUGUUAUUUAAGGUUGUCAACGUCAUUUUACAGGAUGCAAGUAACAUUUUUAAUUUAUUAAAUCUAUUGCUGUUUGUCGUGUAAACACAUCCUUCAAAAUAAAAAUACAAACCAUCUCCUA